rnacentral:rRNA from 1 species
GACGAACGCUGGCGGCGUGCUUAACACAUGCAAGUCGAGCGGUAAGGCCCUUUCGGGGGUACACGAGCGGCGAACGGGUGAGUAACACGUGGGUGACCUGCCCUUAGCUCUGGGAUAAGCCUGGGAAACUGGGUCUAAUACCGGAUAUGACUCCAUAACGCAUGUUGUGGGGUGGAAAGCCUUGUGCGGCUAGGGAUGGGCCCGCGGCCUAUCAGCUUGUUGGUGGGGUGAUGGCCUACCAAGGCGACGACGGGUAGCCGGCCUGA